rnacentral:rRNA from 1 species
ACUCAAAUGAAUAGACGGGCACCCGCACAAGCGGUGGAGCAUGCUGUUUAAUUCGAAGAUACGCGAAGAACCUUACCUAGGUUUGACAUCCCCGGCAAAGCUAUAGAAAUAUAGUGGAGGUUAUCCGGGUGACAGAUGGUGCAUGGUUGUCGUCAGCUCGUGUCGUGAGAUGUUUGGUUAAGUCCAACAACGAGCGCAACCCUUAUUGUUAGUUGCUAACAUUUAGUUGAGAACCUUAACAAUACUGCCGAUGUAAGUCGGAGGAAGGUGGGGAUGAGGUCAAAUCAUCAUGCCUCUUACAUCUAGGGCUACAGGCGUGCUACAAUGGCUGGUACAACGAGUCGCAACAUAGUGAUAUGUAGCUAAUCUCUUAAAGCCAGUCUCAGUUCGGAUUGGAGUCUGCAACUCGACUCCAUGAAGUUGGAAUCGCUAGUAAUCCCGAAUCAGAAUGUCGGGGUGAAUACGUUCUCGGGUGUUGUACACACCGCCCGU